UUACACAUAACACACAGAGGUGAGAUCAUACUGAAUGUAUGAGACCUUGUAUCAAAAUAAAAUAAAAACAUCAGGUGAAUCCAGGAAAGAAUUCAAAAUGGCAUGACUAAUUGUAUUAUAAAUGUAUCAAACAACCUUGCUGAAGGGGACAGGGAAAGAUGAUGACCUAAAAAACUCUGGAAAUGCAUACAGUCUCUGAGGCUAAAGGCAAAAAGAACCAGCACCUAAACUUUACUUAAUAAAGUUAAUAAAGUUUUUUUCCACAGGAUAUAUGUUAACAAUUCUGAUACUAUUAUACUUGUACUGUGAAAUUGAACAAGUAAGUAAAAGGAUGACAGACAGGAACCAGGUUUUUUACUAUUGAAGUGGGAUUUUACAGAUAAACACAGGGAGAAAGCUAGACUGACCCAUCUGUAAAUUACUUUGACUUGGAGACAUCAGUAUGGACUCAGAUUUUUCAUGUAGAUACUAAUGGUUACAUAUAGAUGCAUUUAUAAAUAUACUUAAAUACACAGGUUAGUGAAAAGGCAUCAUUUUGCUCUGUCAGUUGAGAGGAAAUAAAUGAUACUCAGUAGCAGCAAGCAUACCUAGUACCUAGAUAAUGGUCUCUAAAACCAUUCUCCAGUAAGUGAAACCAGACCUUGGAAAAAUGGAUGAUACUAGGGAAAUAAAUAUACAAGAUGAGUCUGCAGCAAUUUGUAGCAACAGAAUGUAAGGAAAUGUUCAGCUCUCACACACACACACACACACACACAUACACACAUAUGUACACACAUACAUUAACAACAUUCUCCAGUUGGAGAAUGUCAUAAGAGCAGUGAAUAGAACUUAUAAAGAGUUCACAAUGGCCAAAACUAGAAUGAUUCAAAUAGUAUCAGAUUAUAACUCAAAAUACAAAGUAUCCAUGAGUCCAUACUGCUAUAAAUGAUUGAAUAAGUUAAUCUUCCAAGAAGAAUUUCAAAUAAAGUUUAUGAAGAUUUCCUACUGUUAAGGUAUAUGGGCUACACACAGUGACUUCCUUCCAAAGUGUACAGUAAAGAAAGUGGGAAACAAGAGCAACUCUUCAAUGGAGAAGCCUGACAAAUACUACCUCAGUCAACUGAUCAAGGUCAACAUCAACUAUGAAAAAUCUUGAUUAUAUAUGUUCCCUUGAUUACACCAUGAAAAUGACACUCUGCCUUAGGCUUCUUCCUAAUAACAUGUAAUCCCAGUGUUAUCAUGAGAAAUUCAUUAGGCAUAUUCCAACAGUGGGGAAUAAAAUAUCUGACCAGCACUCCUCAAAAUCACUAGGUUAUCACAAGGAAAAACUGCCAUCAUCAAGAGAAACAUAAGAAAAUAUGACAGUAGAAUUCAAUAUAGUACCCUGGAUAAGACUCUGGAAAAGAAAAAAAGUUCUAACCAUUAAAGUGAGAACUAUAGAACUCUAAUUAAAUUAUGGACUUCAGUUAAUAAUAACUUAUCAAUAUUGGCUGAUAAAUUACAACAAAAGUAUUAUACUGAUGUUAAUAGGGGAAACUGAAUAAAGCAUAUGAGAACACUUACACCGUCUUGAUUUUCCUAUAAACCUAAAACUGUUAAAAAAUGUCUAUUGAAAAAGAAAUAUGUCAAAAUGUUAAACAGUGAUUAUCUCCUGUGGUGGCAUUAUGGAUAAUUUUUGUCUUUGUAGUCCUUGUACCACAUACAUUUUCUAGAACAUAAGAUUUUCUUCUCAAUCUAUUACUACAGCUAUCAUAAUAAACUUCAAAAGACGAUACUAUUUGUUGAAUAAUUAUAUUUGAUCACAUACUGACUAUGCUAAAAUUUUUAGCAAUACUGUGUAGUGAACACUAUCCUUUUUUUUAAAUGAAGUAUUUGUUUGUUAACUUGUAAUAUACACCACUUGCUUUUUCUGAGAUGGGCCCAAUGUAACCAGUGGCAAGGAAGGGAUAUCUGAAAAUACCCUCUCUGAAAACUGAAAUUCCCACUUCAAUCUUAAUCUUUAACAGCAAGGAUUGUGAUGGAAGCAUGCAUUACCUGCAAUUAUUUUAUGCCAAGCCAUAUUUGCUUUUAGUCUACAGGUAAACUGUUUUCUGUCAGCCUGACAAAUAAAUGUCUGCCUAACCCUGAGGGGACAGGGGAUAGUAUUGAGGAAACAAGUGUUCUUUAAGUUACAUGGUUAGUAAGUGGCAGGUAACAAGACUCCAAAACAUAUUUUUAUGUCCUUAUCAUACAGAAUUACUUGUUUAGCGCUUCAUAAAAUUAUUAACACAUAUAUCAUUUUAAAGUACUUCACAAUAGAGCUCUAAUCUCUAGAGUAUACAAAGAACUCAAAAAGUUAAACAACAAAAAAACAAAUAACCCAAUCAUCAAAUGGGCCAAGGACUUGAACAGAAACUUCUCAGAAGAGAAUAUACAAUCAAUCAACAAAUACAUGAAAAAAUGCUCACCAUCUCUAGCAAUCAGAGAAAUGCAAAUUAAAACUACUCUCAGAUACAAUCUCACUCCAAUAAGAAUGGCAGCCAUUAUGAAGUCAAACAACAAUAAGUGCUGGCGAGGAUUCAGGAGGAAAAAGGUACACUCAUACAUUGCUGGUGGGACUGCAAAUUGGUGCAGCCAAUUUGGAAAGCAGUAUGGGGAUUCCUUGGAAAGCUGGGAAUGGAACCACCAUUUGACCCAGCUAUUCCCCUUCUCGGACUAUACCCAAAAGACCUAAAAAGAGCAUACUACAUGGAUACAGCCACACCAAUGUUCACAAUAGCUAGAAUGUGGAACCAACCUAGAUGACCUUCAAUAGAUGAAUGGAUUAAAAAAAUGUGGCAUUUAUACACAAUGGAAUAUUACUCAGCACUAAAAAAUAACAAGAUCAGGGCAUUUGCAGGGAAAUGGAUGGCAUUAGAGCAGAUUAUACUAAGUGAAGUUAGCCAAUCCCUAAAAAAACAAAUGCCGAAUGUCUUCUCUGAUAUAAGGGGGGUGACUCAAAAUGGGAUAGGGAGGAAGAGCAUGAGAAGAAGACUACCACUAAAUAGGGAAGAGAGGUGGGAGGGAAAAAGAGGGAGAAGGGGAGUUGCACGGAAGAUGGAAGGAAGGAGAACCUCAUCAUUAUACAGAAUACAUUUAUGAUGUUGUGAUGAGAAAAAGAAAAAAAAGUGUGUCACAUUAGAUUGGAUAGAGAGAAAUGAUGGGAUUGGAGGGGAGGAGUAGGGGAGAUAGGAAGGGCAGCAGAAUAGAACAGACAUUGUGAUUGCUGUAUGUUUAUAGGUGACUCUAUGACCAGUGUGAUUCUGUAAUCUGUACAAUUAGAAAAAUGAGAAAUUAUACUCCAAUGAUUCAAAUGUAUGAAUUGCCAAGAUCAUUGUAAUAUCAUGAAUAGCUAAUAAAAAAAAUAAAUUUAAAAAAGUACUUCACAAUAUUGUCAGUAUAGGUUAAAAGACCUGUAUUUAUGGAAACUGUCAGAAAGACAAUGCGUGACAUGCACCACUAUACUGUUAACUUAGAGAAAAAAACAAAUACAACAACAAAAAACUUCCAUCAGAUGAAACAAUACAAGCAGCACUGAAAGCUAUACAAGAAACAUAGUGACUGCUCAAACACUUCUAAUAACUACAGAUCUUGUCUUGUCCAAAGAUAUCUGGAAUCAUCUUUCCCUUAGGCAAUAAGGUAAUUCUUUCAACAUAUAUGAAGUUAAGAACUAAAUUGAAUAUUCUCAUCACACUACUUUAAAGAGGGAUCUAGACUGAUUUCUUGCCCUCAUCACAGUUCACCACCCCACUGGUCAAGUUACUUCAACAUGCGACAGAAUGAAUAAGCUGAGAAUUAAUAGCUUUUACACCUGUUGCUUUUCAUGAACCAUUUCAGAAUUUCUAAAGCACAUAUGACUGAACUGAGGCAGCCCUAUUUCUAAAGUACAUUGGUCCUUAUGAAGCAAAAUAAGCCAAGCUGAUUGCAGGUAGGGCCCGAGUAGAGAAAUACAAAACCUACCCGAAGAGUUACCUUGUAUCAGCAUCCAUGAACAAGAUGAAAUACUUUGAAGCACCUUUCCAAAAGACACAAGACCUAGUUUGAAGGGGUACUUAUUCACUGGUAAAUUCUGGGAUGUGAAUUUAAGAAUAAAAAAACAAGUCAUGGCUGGGUGCAAUGGUGCACUCCUAAAAUCCUAGCUAUUCAGGAAGUUGAAGCAGGAGGAAUUCAAGUUCAAAGCCAGCCUGGACAAUUUGGCAAGGCUCUUGUCUCAAAAUAAAGACUGCUCCUGGGUUCAAAUCCCAGCACCAAAUAAAUGAAUAAAUAAACAUCACAAGAAAAUAAAAACCUGCUAUGAACUGUUAUGUUCCUACCAAAUUCAUAUUUGAAACCUUAAUGCUAAAGUGGUAGUAAGCACCCAUUUGGGAGGUUUUAAAGCAAAAGGGUAGAGUCUCAUGAAGGAAUUAGUGCACUUGGUUCUCUGCCAUAUGAAAACCCAGAAGGAAGAGGCCUCACCCAGAACCUGACUAUGCUGAUACCCUCAUCUUGGACUUUCUAGCCUCUAAAGCUGUGAAAAGUUAAGUUUCUGUUGUUUAAACUACCUAGCCCAAGGUAAUUAUAGUAGCUCAAACUAAGACACAAACCAAUUUUUUAAAAUAGACAAAAGAUUUGAACAGCCAUUUUACCAAAAAUAUACAGGUAACAAAAAAAGUAUAUAAAAAGAUACCCAGUAUUAUUGGUCAUUAGGAAAAUGCAUAUUAAAAUCACAAAAAGAUACCUGUUAAGUCAGUCUUUAAAAAAAAAAAAAAACUUGACAAUACAAAGCGCUGGUGAGAAUGUAGUCACCAAAGUUCUCAUACAUUGCUGGUGGGAAAGCAUAAUGACACAAUACACUUUGGAAAACAGUUGGGCUGACUUUUAAAAACAUACUUACUGUACUUACUAUAAACAUACCUUUUUAAACAUUCUUACUAUAAAAUACAACAAUCACAUUCCUAGCUGAGUGUGAUGGCGAACAUGUGUAAUCCCAGCAGCUCGGGAGGUUGAGACAGGAGGAGGAUGGCAAGUUCUAAGCCAGCCUCAGCAAAAUCGAGGCACUAAGCAACUAACUCAGUGAGACCAUCUCUAGAUAAAAUACAGAAAGUAGGGAUAUGAUGUGACUCAGUGGCCAACUGCCUCUUAGUUCAAUCCUGGUACCACCCCCCAAAAAAAUCUGUAUAGAAAUGUUCUUAGCAAUUACUACUAAUAAUCAAAAACUAGAAACAAUUCAAAUAUGCCUCAACAGAAGAAUAAAUUGUGAUUCAUCUGUACAAUUCAAUAUGAUUCAGAAAUAAACAUGAACCACUCUUGAUAUAUACAACACUUUGGAUGAAUCUCACGGUUAAAUUAAAAAAAAAAUUCAGAAAGCCACAUUAUUUUGGAAGAAAUAAGAUCAGAAAUUGCCAAGGAAACUCAGGGAAAAGGCUUAAAAAGGGGGUAGCCUUUUUGAAAGCAAUGCGGUUUUGAGUGCAGCAGAGCACCAUGCUGCCAGCUUCUGCUCCUGACUCACCGCUGUUCUCUCUCGCUGAGUAACAAGUAGGUCAGGAAGCUGCACCACAGUCACGGCAUUUAAAGACACCAGAAAGGCACCCGUGGAACAGAUAGUGAUUCAUUAUAUUAGAAUUAUCCUUACCAGCCGCAAUGUGAAAUCACUUGACAAAGUGUAUGCUGACUUGAUCAGAGGCAUAAAGGAANAAAAAAGUUACUAUUGAUUAUUUCUGGUUAGUAGGAUUAUGAAUGAUUCUAUUCUGGUCUUCACAUUUUUUUGAUAAUCUCACGAUCACCAAAAAUCAACCUUAAAAAUGAUAAAACUAUCAGUUGAUAUAAUCCACCCAUAGAUAAACAUCUUAAAAAGUAAAAUUUCAAAUGUAGUUUCAAAGUCAUUUUUAUAAAACCAUUUUAUGAAGGCAUUCAGCAAUAGUGAUGUUGGAUCAUCUGCUAUUUCUCAUAACUGACAGGCUGAUAAGCAGUUUUAUUGCAAUUUUUAAAAAGUCAGCAGGAGAGAAAGCCAUUAGCAGAGGGCUUUGCUAAUCUACAAACUAGUUAUAAAAAUCCUGAAUAAUUCAGCAAUCCUAAUGAUGUGGCAGAAAGUAAAAUAACUGAAGAAAAGGCUUCCAAGAAUCAGAUUAACAUCACUGAAAGCUAGGAGCCUUCCCACACAUCAUGCUCCUCAAUCCUCCCUGUGAGGAGGUAUUAGCCCAUUUUGGCAGAUGAGGAGUUCUGGCCUUGAACAAGGUUCCAUCAGCCUGGAACCAUCCAGCUGCUAACCAGGGACCCACAUGCUUCCCAGCACCACCUCUCUCCAUGAAGGUCAGUGACUUACCAUGUUAAUAGAGUGAAAAAAAAAAGUUAUCUAACUUGUAUGCUACCUUAAAAAGCUUAGCUGGAUCAUUUUUUCUUGCAGAACUUGAAGCAAUCCUAAAAGAAAGGAAAAAAGAAAUGCUGAGAAGUUGAGGAGUUGAGAAAUCUCCUGAGAAGCUGACUAUUCCCAAGCAACUGAAAAGCAAAGCAUUGUGGGAAGGGGAUCAGCUGAUAAAGCGUAAGUAGAGCCUGAAGCAGCUCCCUCCUCCCUGUUCUCUUCCAGGAUGUCUCUGUGAAGCCUCAUCACUGAUCAUACAGAAUCUUUUAGAAAUUUGGAGCCUUUCCUUGGCUGUUGGCUUUAUUUACUAUUAACAUUAUUUCCAAUAGGCCAUACCCACAUAGGGAGCCAAAGUGUGAGGGGUCAGUACCACAGAGAGACCCCACAGGCAUUUGAAUGGCCAAAUCUCAGCCAAGCCCAGUGUUUGUUUGUUUGCUUGUUUGUUUGUUUUUAAGAAUGGUAAAUAGUAACAAUAACUAAGAUUUCUGUAGUGUUUAUGUGCAUCAGCUAUGUGCUUCACUUUACAUAUGAAUAUUGUCCUACUUAAUCUUCAUGACUCCAAGAGGGAUGUAUUAUUUUUGAUCUUCAUUUAACACAAGAAGCAGCUGAGGACUUGGACCCCAGCUAGGAAAUGGUGUUCAGGGCAUGAACAGUUUGUUGGGUCUCAAUCCAUGUUCUUAACACUGUGCUACAUGGUCAUGUGGACUUACAGUUACCAGGGCUGGGGUUUCAAGAGAAAGCCUACCUCUCUCUUCUCCCCCCAGCUCCAGAAGGAAACAUAUGAGCAAGGGAGAAGAGCUGUGGCUGAGGAAAUGGAGAAAAUGAGAAUCCUUGUCCUGCCAGGCCAGCUGGAAGGUGGAUUUUCCUAGAGCCAGAACAGCUUGCUUCCCAACCCUAAACUAAGUAUUUAGUACUUUCUUUUAUUUCCAAAAUUAUCUAAGGUAAUUAUAACAGUAUGUAAAAUACAAAAACAGGAAGUAAGAAAGAAAACAAAAUGAUUGGGCCUUUAAAUAUUUAAUGGCUAACAAAAAAACAUGAUCAGUAAUCAUUGUCACAGAUCACAGUGUUUAUAAGUUUGAAAGUGAACCAGCUACUCAAGACAAGCACAACUCAUGUCAAUGUGAAAAUCAGAAAAAUAUUUUCUCCUGAAAGCAAAGUGUCACAGUGCAAUAAAAUGAGUAAUGCCUUCCACAUCUCCAAGGGAUUAGACAUAGGCAGCUGAGUAGAGAGGUUAAGUAGACUUGAGUCAGUCUGCUUGGGUUCUACAAGUUAUGCAACCUGUCUCAGCCUCGAUUUCUUCAUCUGUGAAUGAGUAAUGAAGAAUGCAUGGUGGAUUAAAUGAGCUAAUGGAGGUAAAGUUUUUAUGGCAGUGCUUGGAAUGUAGAAAGUAUGCACUACAUGUUUUCAACACACUAAGCACCUCCUCCCUCAGGGCCUCUGUAUCUACUGCUCCCUCUGAUUCACAUCUUUCUCCAUGAUACAUACACAAGCUCACUCCUUCCCUUUCAUCAAGCCUUUCCUCUCACUCAGUAUGGCCUUCCCAUACAACAAUAUGUGUAAUUGAGAUGUUUUCCUACUUGCUUUCCCAAAGUAGCAGCCAACAUCCUCUGCCUUGACUUAAUUUUUUCCAUGUAUUUCUUAUGCUCAAAUAACCAAUUGCUCCAUUUCCUUUGUUUUUGACUAUUUUCUUCAGUUAAAUUAGAGAAAACUUCUAUUUUAUUCACUGCUGUAUCUCCAAUAGCUAAAACAGAGCAUGAUAAAGUAGAUACAUAAUAAACGUGUUGAAUGAAUGAAUGAAUCCAGUCAACAAACUUACCACUUUACAGCUAUCUACAAGGUGUCCUCAAAAUACCUGUAAAGGUUUGUCAAUCACUCAAAAGGUGAACCAGGAAGUUUUCUAGACACUUCAACCCUAUGGUAACAAUUCAGAAAAGCAUAAAGUCUGAAGUGGUGACAAAGGUAAUUCCAUUGAGAUUUCUGGUGAUAGGUAUUGUUUGAUACUCUUCAUGUGAGUUUAGAAUUAGUGAUUAAUAGUCACUACUGCAGGGGCACAGCUAGAAGGAAUAGCCAAAAUGCAGCAUAAAGCAUUUCUGGAAUCAAUCACUACUAUUACCUCUUUUUUUAAAAAAAUUAAACAGAUAGGUAAAAACAUAACAAUUAUGCAGAUUAAUGAGGUACUGUCAAUUUUUAAUACAGUCCAAAUAAAACAGCUCUCUCCUGUAGCAAAACAAAGACAAGAAAGCCAGUUAUUGACUUACUUCAUGCUUCCUAACACAAGCAUCAGUAUGAAAUGCAUUUAAAUCAAAAUAUGCAUAUUGUGAGGAAAGACCCCAGAAUAGGCAAAGCUUCCAUUUAGUAAGCCAAUAUGCAGGCCUACACAGGUCUCAGUAGUGAGAAGUCAUCUUUUCAACCAGUGAGAGGCAAUCUAGCAAAACAGAAAACAUGCCACAGACAGGUUGUCACAGGCAGACUGGGUGAGUCAAGCCCCAGGUGGAGCUGGGAAACUCACCCAGUCUCAUGGCCAAUCUGCCUGCAUCAUUACAGUUGUGAUGAAAUGCCCUCCUUGUGUAUACAACAGCUGUUUCUGUAUACUACUUCUUUGCCAAACAAUAGGGUUUGAGGAGUUUGGGGCUUUCCCAUGUUCAAAUAUGAGAAACAGGAAUAUUUCCAUGAUAAGUGAGUGCUUUCCCUCAAUACCAGGGAUAAAACCCAGGCCUCAUACAUGCUAGGCAAGUGGUCUACCACUGAGCUACACCCCAGUCCAAGGAUUUUUAAAGUAGUCAUUCAGAAGGCUGAAUUUUAGUUCCUCUUUGUAUUCUAUACACCUGUUACUUUUAUUCAAUUGUGGCCUGAGCACAGACUUACCCAUGGUUUCAAGCAUGGGAGAGGACUGUGACAUAGAUGAUGAAUAAAUUUCCAUCGUUAAGAUACCCACCCCCAUUUGUCACGAUGUUUAUUAAAUCUGAUGAGGUACGUAAGACAUCAACAGAGGUUAACUACAUUCCCAGGUUUCACAGCAAAGCAGGAGCACAAGAAGGCUGAUUCCCAACCUUGUGAUUUCCUAAUCUUGGUCAAGUGUUGCCAACAGGAAAUGUUUUAUAAUACACUGAUUUUGUUUAGCCAUCUCCACAUAUAAUUUGUCAAGUGCUUCUCUCUGAGUUUCUUGGGUGACAAAUUCCUGUAGUGGACUGUUUAACCCUCAAAACAUCUAACCUCUUAAUACCUACUAUAUCCUUUAUGAAAAUGUUUGGUGGAAUGUUCAAAACAAAUCAUCCUAUCUUUCUUUUUUCUUUAUGAUGCAUUUAUCUUUGGCAUGUGGUAAGAGGAAUAUAAAGUAAACUGUCUUUAUAUCAGGCUUCUAAGUGUCUAAAAUCACAAUAUGGAUGACCAUAGGAAUAAUUCAUCACAACAGAAACAUUUUUUUAAAAAAAUCCAGAUAUUCCUUUAAAGCAUCAAGAAACAUGUAAGGGAAGUCCUUAAUCUGUUUGUAUGGAGAGUACAUAGGGCUCAACCUUGAGCAAGCAGACCUUCCUAUGCUUGCAUGCAGGGAGUCAUAAGUGGUGGGAACAUGGAGUUAAAGGCUUAAUUCUACAGACUGAACCCACCUGUUAACCUUCAGCAUGUCUUUCUUUGAAGCAGCUCACAAAAGGCCAUUCUAACCCAGUUUUGGGCUAAAAAGAUAAUAAUGUGUUACAAUCCUUACUAUUUCCAAGGUUAUUCUUCCCCCUCAAAGUUGAGGAAUACAUGUCCAAAAACUCCUUCUCUGAUUAAAAAAUACAAACAAAAAAAACACAGGUUACCCUGAUCCAGGCAGGACCCAGAUGAAAGAGGGCCUUUGUGACCUUUACACAAACCAAAAUGACUGAAAUCUUAUGUAAUCCUAUUGUUAAAAGUUCCCUCCUACCCCAAUAAAAAUGAGCUCACAAAAAAGUGAGUUGUCUCUCCCUAUUUUGACAGUAUCUUUUCCCCCUUCUUCUCCUUCUAAUAAACAUUGCUAUACUUUUACUAAGUCUCCAGUCUUGCUUGAAAUCCUCUCUUGCAAGCACACAAAAUAUGAGAACACAAUGCCACCUCUGGUAGGAUCUUAUCACCAUUUACAGGCUGGUCUCACUGCACCUCACUUCUGUUCCCCCACAUGCUCACCACUGCCUUCAGAUAAGAUAUGGGUCACCUUUCCCCACUCUGGGCUCCUCUUGUAGUUUUGUCUUGUCUGAGUUCCAGCUCUGAUCUCUGUUAACUAAUACAAGCUUGAAAAUACACAUGACGGAUGUUAUAAAUGUACACUCAAAUUAGAAGGACAAAUGAAAACCUCAGCAAAUCACUUAAGGAAGCUUGGCAAGAGGCAUCAAAAAAAAUGUUCUAUUAUCAAAUAAAUUUAGCUGGAAUAAGAAAAUUCUUCCAGAUUUCUUUACUUAGGAUAGUAGUUCACAGACCUAACAGACCCAAAGUAUCCUUUCAGUAAACAUGUAUCUUUCUAACACCUCCUUUAUCAUCCUGAAACAAAAUUCAUAAGAAUGUCCUUCAUAAACAUAAUCUCCAAAAAUCCCACAACAAUAUGUAGAUGCAUGAGUAUAACAAAACCAAAAUAGAAAAGUGGUCAGGUGUUUCUUUCUAUAUGAAGGAUCAUCUCCAGGUGGUAAUGGAAAUAGGGGUGGGAGGGAAAAGGAGGGAGAAGGGGAAUAGCAUGGAUGAUGGAAGGAGACCAUCAUCAUUAUACAAAAUACUUGUAUGAAGAUGUGAAUUUGGUGUCAACAUACCGUAUGUACAAACAGAAAUAUGAUACAUUGUGGUAUAAAGGUGUAUUAAGAAUUGUAAUGCAAAAAAAAAAAAUAAGAGAGCUCAUGUAUAAUGGCAUAAUUUGGCAUGAACAUACUUUAUAUACAGAGUUAUGAAAAAUUGUGCCGUGAAUGGAUAAUUAUGAUUGUAAUGCAUUCUACUAUUUUCAUGUAUGUAAGAAAUAAAAAAUAAAAAAAGAAGAAUCAUCUCCAACUUGACAUCUACAAACACAGACUACCUGGUUAUGCUCUGUCAGCAACUCAAGUACAACUGGUGAAAUUGCUGGUGCUAUACCCUUUGAAAAUAGUGAAUAAUUCUUGGUAAAGUUCAAAGCAAAACAAAAUACAGUCUUCUCUUGGUUUAUAUAAUUAUUACAUUCAUAAACAUUCAGUGUCUCUUACAAAAUCUCAACUACUCUCUGUUUAUAUGUAAACAAAGUUAGGUAAUAAUCUUAAUUAUAUACAGCCAUAAGACUAUCAGGACAAACAGAAGUCCCAGAGGGUGAAGGAUAACUCUUAAUUUCAUGGGACUGUAGUGUCCACCCACAGUUCCAGGGCCAAUCAACGAGAUAACAAAAACACUCCUACCAAUUUACAAACCAUCCCCCAGGAGUAGUACCAUUCAUUGGAAACCACUACUGCAGGGCUUCAAGAGAGUCUUUAAUAUGAUAAAGUAAGCUGGGAAUUAAAAACAAGGACAGAACACUUUUUUUCUCCAAGUACUUUCUUGAAGGGCUAUGGCUUCACUAAUCACAUUCAAGGAAAUGUGGGUAUUGAUUAUUUUUAAAAGCGUAUUUAAUAAACCAAGUGUGGUGGUAUAUGCCUGCCUUCGUAGCAUCUUGAAAGGCAGAGACAGGAAGCUACCAGUUUGAGGCCAGCCUGGGGCCUGAGCAAUUUAGUGAGACCCAGUCUCAAAAUAAAAAAUAUAAAUAAAUAAAAGGGGGCCAGGCUUGGUGGCAUAAGCCUGUAAUCCCAGAGAUUUAAGGAGGCUAAGGCAGGAGGAUUGUGAGUUCAAAGCCAGCCUCAGCAAUUUAGCAAGGCCUUGAGCAAGUUAGGAAGACCCUAUCUCUAAAUAAAAUAUAAAAAGGGCUACAGGUGUGGUUCAGUGGUUAAGUGUCCCUGGGUUUAAUUCCCAGUACUAAAUAAAUAAAUACUUUUUAAAAAAUAAUAAAAAAUUUUAAAAAGGGCUGGGAAUGUAGCUUAGUAGUAGAGGACCCUGGGUUCUAACCUCAGUACUGGGGGUGAGGAGAUAUAUAUAUAUACUUUCAAUAGUAAAAUCUUACCAGUUACAGCUGCAAGUGAACAGCAGGUUCUAGACAUAUGUUUUCCAAGGAGGGAAAGCCUAAUACUGGGCUGCGCCUCUCAUUGCUCCAGUAACACAGGGAAGAUGCCACUUCUAAGAAGAUGAGAGAAAGAGAGCCAAUAGAAACCUUUGGAGGAUAAUCAAAUAUCACAGUCAGAGCCUGAGCCUCAUUAGUGCCAUUCAGGAUACAUGGUUUUUUAAAAACCUCAUAUUUGGAGUUCAGGUGGUUGCUUUGAAUUCAGUUUUAUGGUCCUUGGACAUAUUAAUUCAUAAAUAAAUGUACCUUUUAAGAAUCCUAAGUGUCUCUGUGGCCCUUUCCAAAAAGAAAUGGGUUUUGUAGUUCAGUCCAGUAAAUGAAAUAGACAUUAUUGGCUAUUUUUUUUUAUUAUCAAUUCAAUACAUGAAAUUAAAGCACUAAAAUGUUCAUUUCCAUUAUUUCCCCAAAUCUAUAGUUGUUAUAAACAUUGAAAGGCCUGUUUAAAUUGGCAAGUCUACAUUUUAGAUUUUAUUUCUCCCCAACCUGACUUUAAGUCAUAACCCAGAGAUCACUAGAAAAAUACAUAAAAGCCACACUAUUCAGAGUUUAGUACAAGUGAAAAUGUCCUGAUCUCUACCUCAGAUGAAAAAAAUAAUCACAAGUAAUAAUUACAGAGGAAUCAGUAAGUACUAUUCACUACAGAACCACAAAGGAUAUACAUUUCACCCAACCUAAGGGGAUUUCUUCAAGGCUAAUUUACCAUGGAGGGGCAAGUAUUAUCUCCUUAAUUACAUUGUCAAUACAUUUAUACUUUAACAGAUUUUAAGAUAAAUGUGAGAACAAUGCUUCUGAUUUUUAUAAGUACUUACCAGGCAUUGGUGCCAUCUGGUGGCCAUUUUAAUUAAAAUUAUUAAAAGGAUUUGGGGCUUUUCCUCUUCACCCUGGGGAAGGUAGAAAACCACAUUUUAAAAAAAGUAUUUUGCAACAUGCUUUGUUAUUAUUACCAUUUCUGGCAUUUAGAGACUGAAGCAUCAAUUCACCCUUAUUAGGUUCUUCUUAUUCCACACCUUUUAUCUGGAUUUAUGAAUGUGUUAACAGUUACCACAUUAUUUGCAAUAAAAAAUAAUAAUAAUUGACAUUGGUAUUGCAAAGAAAAUUCAAGUGAUAUGGGCAAUAGUAGAUAAUCAGUUUAUCUAUAUUUUUUAAAUACAUCUCAAUUCAUUCAACAGUAUUUAAUGCCAAGAACUUUAUUUGAAAAAUUUGGUGGUUCUGCCUAACAAGGCUUAGAGAAGCACAAACCUUAGGAAAAAGAAUUUAUGGUUAAAACCAUCACAAUGAAAUAUUUCUGUUUAACAGAAGCUAUUAUAUGCAGAUUUAUUAGAUGGGAUAUUUUCAAUGUCUUAAUUCAAUAAGGACUAUUUAUAUAAGAAAUUUCUUCAAAUUAACAAGAAAGACAGGAAAAUUCAAGAAAGAUUAAAUAAUAAAUAUGUAUCAGAAAGAAAAUCCCAAAUAACUAGCAAGUGAUAUGAAAGGAUACUCAGCAUGUAACCAAAUAAACAAAGUAUGUUUUAUAUAUUGCUUUACACAUACCAAGUUGGCAAAAAUUAGGGGCGGGGGAGUUUUGGCAUUAAUGAAAAGAGUAAGAAAAUAGAAAUCCUCAUGAACUGAUGGUAGGAAAGGUAUCUGGUAGUUCUUGGUUCAGUAUACACAUAUCUUACAAAUAGCAAUCACAUUCAUCAGUAUACUAAUUAUCUAUUUCUAUGUAACAGAGUACCCUAAAAUUUAGUGUGUAAAAACAACAAAUGUUAAUUUUUGCAAAGUUUCUGUGGGUCAGUCAUCCAGAUGUGACUUACCUUACUAUCUGUGCAUCAGAAGACUGCAAUCGAGGGUCAGCUGGGGCUGUAGUCAUCUCAAGGGUCAGUGAACCUUUUCAAAGUCCUCAGAAGAUCCAUUUCCAAGCUUGCUUACUUGGCUGCUGGCAAGUCUUAGGGCCUUGCUGAAUAUCAGCUACAGAUAUCAGUUACUUGCCACAUGGAUCCCUUCAUAGGGCAGUUCACAACAGGGCAGCUUGUUUCCUCUAGAGUAAGGGCUCUCAAAAAAGAGAAUGAGAAAUAGAAAGCAAGACAGAAGUCAUAAUGUUCCUGUAAACUAAUUUUGUAAGUAACAUAUCACCACGUUUGCCACAUUCAAUUUGUUAGAGAAGAAUCACUAGAUCUAGCCUAAAAUAAAAGAAAAAUUAAACAAGAGCAUGAAUAUUAGGAAAUGGGAACCCUGAGAGCUGUUUCAGAGGCUGUCUACCAUAGUGGGUAUAUACAUUCCAAAGACUCUGGACAGAUCCACAAGAAAACAGGGAUUAGACUGUUUGUUGCAGCUUACAUGCAAGACAGGUACACGCAACUUAGAUACCAACAAUAGGAAAAUAGAGAAAAUGUAGUUAUAUGCAUAUGGCAGAAUACCAGGCAGCAAAAUACACUGACCCAAAUUUAUAAACAGUAUUAUUGAUCCAUCUCAAACACUAAUGUUAAGUGAAAAAAAAAAGUUUUAGUAUAACAGCAUUAAAUAUAACUUAUUAUAUAUCUUUUAAGAAUUUCAAUGCAGAUAAAAUAUGGGAGCAAGACACCCAUGGCAUGGGUAACGAUGGAAGAAAGAAAGGGGCAUAAUUUGCAUGAGCCAAAAUGUGUGCUGUGAAAUGAGUACAAUUCUGUGAUCUAAAUACCUUAAAAACAAACCCCAAAUGGCAAAGAAUAAAAAAUAUAUCCCCCCACUGCUGUACACCAGCCCAAGUUCUUCUUCCUAGAGAUAGCUGCAGAUUACAAAAAAAUACAGAUUCUGUGCAUAUGUACGAAGUCUUUGCACAGGUUAUUUAUCUGUGGCUUUUCAGUCUAUCUACCCUGCUAUAUACUCUUCUGAACAUCUGGAGCUGGAAGACAUCAAACUACAUUUUCAGGGUCUUUUGACAAGUAGCUUCCUAUUAGGUACUGAAGGGAUUGAGAAGGCUAAAAGAGAAAGGUUCCUAACUCCCAAUGUGUGAAUUGAUACGGGAAUGGAGGAGCUGGGACAGAGGCAGCACUCGUUGACUAAAUGACACCCCCUCAGCAAGUCCAGGCCCGAUUCUAACAGUGCUGUUGAUAUCACAGUAGUAAGUUGAUUCAAGGGAUAUGCAGCUUCUGAUAUCUGAGUAGCACUGCUACAUCUUAUUUUAUAAUUGCUCCAGUCCUUCUGAUCUUCCUUUUUGUAUUUCUGGCCCCUUUUUGUCAGACCAUCUGAAAAAUAAAGCUGUGUUAUUAAUUUCACAAUAAUUGGACUUCACAAUUUUAAACAAUGGAAUUUCUACUUUCCAAAUGUGAUUCAGUCACAUAGAAAGGAAACACUUUCCAAAGGGAAACAGCUAUCAAGUAGGAAUUAGGAUUUGAACCCAAGACUUCUGGUUCCUGAGUCUAUGUACUUAGCAGUAUUUUAAACUUCCUUUCACACAUACGUGAGUAAAAUUAUUCUUCUACAUUGUGCCAUGUUGAAGAAAUGUUACAACAUGGGAAAGACAGCUAAAUAAUGUUUGUAGGCUUUUGCUUUUAUUUAUUUGUUUGUUUAUUUAAUUUAUUUAUUUAUUGGUACUGAGGAUUGAACCCUGGGGCACUUAAACAUUAAGCCACAUCCCCAGCUCCUUUUUUAUAUUUUAUUUAGAGACAAACUCUCACUGAGUUACUUAGGACCUUGCUAAGUUGCUAAGGCUGGCUUUGAACUCGAGAUCCUCCUGCCUCAGCUUCAGCCUCCUGAGCCACUGGGAUUACACACAAGCACCACUACACCUGGCUUGGUCUUUCUCUUUUUAAGAAAAUGUGUUUAUUUAUAUCUUCAUUUCUUAGGAAAAGAAAAAUGUGAAAAAUUGUUAUAAAAUCAAGUGACAUGACCAGUCUCCUUUCUUUCUUGACAAAUUCAUUCAUUUACUCAGGAUAAAAUUAAAUAAGUUGUCCUAUGUUCCACUACAGAUGUGAUGCUAAACUUUCAUGGUUUAAUUAGAGGGGAAUGCCAAGUCAGGUGAAGAUAUUACCUGACCUAUUGUCCAUGUUUGACAGUCUCUCAUCAUAAAGCAUUUUGAAAUACUAAAAGAACUAAUAAGACAAGCCAUAUCACCUACUUAAAAUUUCUUUAAAAAUAUAAAAAAAAAAAACAUUUCUCUUAUUCUUUUUUUUAAAUUUUUAUUGUUGGUUGUUCAAAACAUUACAUAGUUCUUGAUACAUCAUAUUUCACACUUUGAUUCAAGUGGGUUAUGAACUCCCAUUUUUAAAGAUUUACAGAAACAUUAUUAUCAUUACUGUUUUUGAUACUGGGGAUUGAGCCCAAAGGUGUUUUACCUUUGAGCUAUAUCCCCCAAGGGUUUUUGUAACUUUUCUUUUUUGUGCUGAGGAUUGAACCCAGGGCCUUGUGCAUGUGAGACAAGCUCACUACCAACUGAGCUAUAUCCCCUCUUAUUCUUGCUUAAACUGGAAAUUCUCAAAUCAUAGAACCAUGGGGAAAAGUAUAGGCCAUUGGUGAUUAGAGUCGAAAAUUAGAGGCUAUUAGAUGGCUUUUUUCCUCAAACUGCCAAGUCUGCACUUAACUCAUAUUAUGAGUUUCAACUUAUUCCCAAAUAUAUAGUGACAAAGAAUGUUAUUGUGAAUAUUCACAGCUCUGAACACUCCUAAUAAAAAAAAAUUAAAAAAAACUUUUUAUUUUCCAACACCAGAGUCCCCUAGAUUACCAAAACUGAAAAAUUCUAGUCCUUUGCUGCCAUCUCAUAGCCUCAUGGAAGAUAAGGACUCUCUUUUCCCAUACUUAAUAUCCUCCUCUUCCCUUUUGCUAUCAUUAACAAUAACAACUUUUUAAAUGCAUCCUUUUAUGGAAUUCUUCUAAAUAAAUCCCAUGGUUUAUCCAUUUAUGUUUAUCCAUUCAACCAAAAACAUUUGGUUACUUCCAGCUUUGGGUGAUUAUGAAUAAAGUUGCUAUAAACAUUCAUGGGUAAGUUAUUUUGUGAACAUAAGUUUUUAAAUCAGUUUGGUAAAUAUCUAAAACAUGAUUUCUGGGUCUUAUGGUAAAACUAUGUCUAACUUUGGAAGAGAUUGCCAAACUGUCUUCUAAGUGGCUAAUGCCACUAUGAAUUUCCAUUGCAACAGUUCCUGUUGCUGUAUUCUUAUCAGCAUUUGGUUUUGUCAGGUUUUUUAUUUUAAUGAAUCUGAAAGGUAUGUGGUUGAAUCUGAUGUUGUUUUAAUUUGCAGUUCUCUUAAGACAAACCAUGAGCAUCUUUUUCAUAUACUUAUUUGCAAUAUAUGCAAUAUAUUUGCAAUUUACUUACACAUAACACACAGAGGUGAGAUCAUACUGAAUGUAUGAGACCUUAUAUCAAAAUAAAAUAAAAACAUCAGGUGAAUCCAGGAAAGAAUUCAAAAUGGCAUGACUAACUGUAUUAUAAAUGUAUCAAACAACCUUGCUGAAGGGGACGGGGAAAGAUGAUGACCUAAAAAACUCUGGAAAUGCAUACAGUCUAUGAGGCUAAAGGCAAAAAGAACCAGCACAUAAACUUUACUUAAUAAAGUUUUUUUUCCACAGGAUAUAUGUUAACAAUUCUGAUACUAUUAUACUUGUACUGUGAAAUUGAACAAGUAAGUAAAAGGAUGACAGACAGGAACCAGGUUUUUUACUAUUGAAGUGGGAUUUUACAGAUAAACACAGGGAGAAAGCUAGACUGACCCAUCUGGUAAUUACUUUGACUUGGAGACAUCAGUAUGGACUUAGAUUUUUCAUGUAGAUACUAAUGGUUACAUAUAGAUGCAUUUAUAAAUAUACUUAAAUACACAGGUUAGUGAAAAGGCAUCAUUUUGCUCUGUCAGUUGAGAGGAAAUAAAUGAUACUCAGUAGCAGCAAGCAUACCUAGUACCUAGAUAAUGGUCUCUAAAACCAUUCUCCAGUAAGUGAAACCAGACCUUGUAAAAAUGGAUGAUACUAGGGAAAUAAAUAUACAAGAUGAGUCUGCAGCAAUUUGUAGCAACAGAAUGUAAGGAAAUGUUCAGCUCACACACACACACACACACACACACACACACACACACAUAUGUACACACAUACAUUAACAACAU
rnacentral:lncRNA from 1 species